CCCCAGGUGCAGGGCCCCCACAGAGCCUCCCCCAGGUGCAGGGCCCCCACAGAGCCUCCCCCCCAGGUGCAGGGCCCCCACAGAGCCUCCCCCCAGGUGCAGGGCCCCCACAGAGCCUCCCCCAGAAAAGUAAUCCCCAUGUAGCCUUGGGCAGCUGACUAGUGGUCGGCCAAGUGGAGAAACAGAAAAGCCAGGUAUGGCUGAGCAUGGUGGUGCUACAGCUUUGACAGCCUGCGAGUGCACACACAAUAGAGCAGGGAAACAAAAGGAGGACUUGGGAGGUGGAGGGCUUGCCCAGCCAGGGCUGACCCUUGAGCUCCUGUCUUACUAUGGUGAGAGAAAGGAGCUGGAGAGACAGCGUAAAGGCUGUGCGAACAGGUCCCGGGCUGGGUCCCCAGCACCACCACAUGCCAGAGCUGAGCAGGGCUCUAGUCUAACACACGAGCCACCAGCCGUGCUGUCUUUCUCCAGAGCCUUUUCAGGGCCGUGGCCCCCUGAGGCCCAGUGGCUCCCUGUGGGGCUGCCCUCGGCAGAGGUCUGCCUGAGGCCUUGCCCUCCUUCAUUGCUCAGCAGAUGACCUUGACCCGCCCACAGGAUGCCCUGUGGCUCUGCAGAGGGUGACUCCUAUCCUUCCGACCAUGCAGCUUUUCGUUGUACGUUAAUUUUGGUUCUGAACGCUUGGCCCACAGCUGGCAGGCAGGCAGGCAGAGCAGGCAGCAGCCAGAACCACCACACAGGCUGCCCCGUGUGCCUCGUGCCCUCGGGGGGCUGCUAGCAGCCCUUGGCGUCUGUGACUUUAGCACAAGCGCCAGAAUUUAGGUGUCUUGUUUUAGAAGCGCCUCACGCUCAGCAGUGUCUGGUGAGUUCCCAGGGGACUGGCCUCAGCAAGGGGCAGGGUGCUGCUUCUCUGCUUUCAGCACUGCCAUGUGAGGGCCUGGAAAGCCACUGCCCUUGGGUGAUACACCUCUCUACU